rnacentral:rRNA from 1 species
GAUGAACGCUGGCGGCGUGCCUAAUACAUGCAAGUCGAGCGAACAGACGAGGAGCUUGCUCCUCUGACGUUAGCGGCGGACGGGUGAGUAACACGUGGAUAACCUACCUAUAAGACUGGGAUAACUUCGGGAAACCGGAGCUAAUACCGGAUAAUAUAUUGAACCGCAUGGUUCAAUAGUGAAAGACGGUUUUGCUGUCACUUAUAGAUGGAUCCGCGCCGCAUUAGCUAGUUGGUAAGGUAACGGCUUACCAAGGCGACGAUGCGUAGCCGACCUGAGAGGGUGAUCGGCCACACUGGAACUGAGACACGGUCCAGACUCCUACGGGAGGCAGCAGGAGGGAAUCUUCCGCAAUGGGCGAAAGCUUGACGGAGCAACGCCGCGUGAGUGAUGAAGGUCUUCGGAUCGUAAAACUCUGUUAUUAGGGAAGAACAAAUGUGUAAGUAACUAUGCACGUCUUGACGGUACCUAAUCAGAAAGCCACGGCUAACUACGU